rnacentral:rRNA from 1 species
GACGAACGCUGGCGGCGUGCUUAACACAUGCAAGUCGAACGGAAAGGCCCUGCUUUUGUGGGGUGCUCGAGUGGCGAAGGGGUGAGUAACACGUGAGUAACCUGCCCUUGACUUUGGGAUAACUUCAGGAAACUGGGGCUAAUAUCGGAUAGGAGCUCCUGCUGCAUGGUGGGGGUUGGAAAGUUUCGGCGGUUGGGGAUGGACUCGCGGCUUAUCAGCUUGUUGGUGGGGUAGUGGCUUACCAAGGCUUUGACGGGUAGCCGGCCUGAGAGGGUGACCGGCCACAUUGGGACUGAGAUACGGCGCAGACUCCUACGGGAGGCAGCAGUGGGGAAUAUUGCACAAUGGGCGGAAGCCUGAUGCAGCAACGCCGCGUGCGGGAUGACGGCCUUCGGGUUGUAAACCGCUUUCGCCUGUGACGAAGCGUGAGUGACGGUAAUGGGUAAAGAAGCACCGGCUAACUACGUG